rnacentral:rRNA from 1 species
CAUGCAAGUCGAACGAUGAAGCCCAGCUUGCUGGGUGGAUUAGUGGCGAACGGGUGAGUAACACGUGAGUAACCUGCCCUUGACUCUGGGAUAAGCGCUGGAAACGGCGUCUAAUACCGGAUACGACCUGCCCCGGCAUCGGGUGCGGGUGGAAAGUUUUUCGGUCAAGGAUGGACUCGCGGCCUAUCAGCUUGUUGGUGAGGUAAUGGCUCACCAAGGCGACGACGGGUAGCCGGCCUGAGAGGGUGACCGGCCACACUGGGACUGAGACACGGCCCAGACUCCUACGGGAGGCAGCAGUGGGGAAUAUUGCACAAUGGGCGAAAGCCUGAUGCAGCAACGCCGCGUGGGGGAUGACGGCCUUCGGGUUGUAAACCUCUUUUAGUAGGGAAGAAGGGCUUCGGCUUGACGGUACCUGCAGAAAAAGCACCGGCUAACUACGUGCCAGCAGCCGCGGUAAUACGUAGGGUGCAAGCGUUGUCCGGAAUUAUUGGGCGUAAAGAGCUCGUAGGCGGUUUGUCGCGUCUGCUGUGAAAACCCGAGGCUCAACCUCGGGCCUGCAGUGGGUACGGGCAGACUAGAGUGCGGUAGGGGAGAAUGGAAUUCCUGGUGUAGCGGUGGAAUGCGCAGAUAUCAGGAGGAACACCGAUGGCGAAGGCAGUUCUCUGGGCCGUUACUGACGCUGAGGAGCGAAAGCGUGGGGAGCGAACAGGAUUAGAUACCCUGGUAGUCCACGCCGUAAACGUUGGGAACUAGAUGUGGGGACCUUUCCACGGUCUCCGUGUCGCAGCUAACGCAUUAAGUUCCCCGCCUGGGGAGUACGGCCGCAAGGCUAAAACUCAAAGGAAUUGACGGGGGCCCGCACAAGCGGCGGAGCAUGCGGAUUAAUUCGAUGCAACGCGAAGAACCUUACCAAGGCUUGACAUAUACCGGAAACGUCCAGAAAUGGUCGCCCCGCAAGGUCGGUAUACAGGUGGUGCAUGGUUGUCGUCAGCUCGUGUCGUGAGAUGUUGGGUUAAGUCCCGCAACGAGCGCAACCCUCGUUCUAUGUUGCCAGCACGUUAUGGUGGGAACUCAUAGGAGACUGCCGGGGUCAACUCGGAGGAAGGUGGGGAUGACGUCAAAUCAUCAUGCCCCUUAUGUCUUGGGCUUCACGCAUGCUACAAUGGCCGGUACAAAGGGCUGCGAUACCGUAAGGUGGAGCGAAUCCCAAAAAGCCGGUCUCAGUUCGGAUUGAGGUCUGCAACUCGACCUCAUGAAGUCGGAGUCGCUAGUAAUCGCAGAUCAGCAACGCUGCGGUGAAUACGUUCCCGGGCCUUGUACACACCGCCCGUCAAGUCAUGAAAGUCGGUAACACCCGAAGCCAGUGGCCUAACCGCAAGGAGGGAGC